GUCGCUACUACCGAUUGAAUGGCUUAGUGAGGCUUUCGGAUUGGAUCUGAGCAGCUGGCAACAGCAGCUUGGAACUGAAAAGUUAUCCAAACUUGGUCAUUUAGAGGAAGUAAAAGUCGUAACAAGGUUUCC
rnacentral:rRNA from 1 species